GGGCCUGUAACUCAGCGGUUUAGAGUGCCAUCCUUAUAAGAUGGAAGUCCUUGGUUCGAAUCCAAGCAGGCCCA
rnacentral:tRNA from 5 species